GCGGCCUGCUGGGCUUUAACUGACGCUGAGGCACGAAAGCGUGGGUAGCAAACAGGAUUAGAUACCCUGGUAGUCCACGCUGUAAACGAUGAUUACUAGGUGUGGGGGGACUGACCCCUUCCGUGCCGGAGUUAACACAAUAAGUAAUCCACCUGGGGAGUACGGCCGCAAGGUUGAAACUCAAAGGAAUUGACGGGGGCCCGCACAAGCAGUGGAGUAUGUGGUUUAAUUCGAAGCAACGCGAAGAACCUUACCAGGUCUUGACAUCCAACUAACGAAGUAGAGAUACAUCAGGUGCCCUUCGGGGAAAGUUGAGACAGGUGGUGCAUGGUUGUCGUCAGCUCGUGUCGUGAGAUGUUGGGUUAAGUCCCGCAACGAGCGCAACCCUUGCUAUUAGUGGCUACGCAAGAGCACUCUAAUAGGACUGCCGUUGACAAAACGGAGGAAGGUGGGGACGACGUCAAAUCAUCAUGCCCCUUAUGUCCUGGGCGACACACGUACUACAAUGGCCAUCACCAGAGGGAAGCAAAGCAGCGAUGUGGAGCAAACCCCUAAAAAUGUCUCAGUUCAGAUACAGGCUCAACCCGCCGCAGAAGUCGG
rnacentral:rRNA from 1 species